UACUAUGAGAAUCUCGCGGCC
rnacentral:miRNA from 1 species